rnacentral:sRNA from 1 species
GCCAGCUGUGGCGGCGCACGCUUGUAAUCCCAGUGCCUCGGGAGGCUGAGGCAGGAGAAUUGCAAGUUUAAUGUAGUGAGGCACAAAGCAACUUAGCAAGACCCUGUCUCAA